GAUCAUGGCUCAGAACGAACGCUGGCGGCGCGUCUUAAGCAUGCAAGUCGAACGGCAAGAGGUAGCAAUACCUCCUAGAGUGGCGGACUGGUGAGUAACACGUGGGUGACAUACCCUUCAGAUGGGGAUAGCUAUUAGAAAUAGUAGAUAAUACCGAAUACGAGCACAGGGGUUAGAGAUCUGUGAGGAAAGGAGCUAAGGCUCCGCUGAAGGAAUGGCCUGCGGCCCAUUAGCUAGUUGGUGAGGUAAGAGCCCACCAAGGCGAUGAUGGGUAUCCGGCCUUAGAGGGUGAACGGACACAUUGGGACUGAGAUACGGCCCAGACUCCUACGGGAGGCAGCAGCUAAGAAUAUUCCGCAAUGGACGAAAGUCUGACGGAGCGACGCCGCGUGGAUGAAGAAGGCCGGAAGGUUGUAAAAUCCUUUUGAAACUGAAGAAUAAGCGUUGUAGGGAAUGACAGCGUGGUGACAGUAGGUUUUGAAUAAGCAACGGCUAAUUACGUGCCAGCCGCCGC
rnacentral:rRNA from 1 species